CAUUACCGAGUUUACAACUCCCAAACCCCUGUGAACAUACCUUAAUGUUGCCUCGGCGGAUCAGCCCGCGCCCCGUAAAACGGGACGGCCCGCCAGAGGACCCAAACUCUAAUGUUUCUUAUUGUAACUUCUGAGUAAAACAAACAAAUAAAUCAAAACUUUCAACAACGGAUCUCUUGGUUCUGGCAUCGAUGAAGAACGCAGCAAAAUGCGAUAAGUAAUGUGAAUUGCAGAAUUCAGUGAAUCAUCGAAUCUUUGAACGCACAUUGCGCCCGCUGGUAUUCCGGCGGGCAUGCCUGUUCGAGCGUCAUUUCAACCCUCAAGCCCUCGGGUUUGGUGUUGGGGAUCGGCUCUGCCUUCUGGCGGUGCCGCCCCCGAAAUACAUUGGCGGUCUCGCUGCAGCCUCCAUUGCGUAGUAGCUAACACCUCGCAACUGGAACGCGGCGCGGCCAUGCCGUAAAACCCCAACUUCUGAAUGUUGACCUCGGAUCAGGUAGGAAUACCCGCUGAACUUAAGCAUAUCAA
rnacentral:rRNA from 1 species